rnacentral:rRNA from 1 species
GACGGACGCUGGCGGCGUGCCUAAUACAUGCAAGUAGAACGCUGAAGAGAGGAGCUUACUCUUCUUGGAUGAGUUGCGAACGGGUGAGUAACGCGUAGGUAACCUGCCUUGUAGCGGGGGAUAACUAUUGGAAACGAUAGCUAAUACCGCAUAACAAUGGAUGACACAUGUCAUUUAUUUGAAAGGGGCAAUUGCUCCACUACAAGAUGGACCUGCGUUGUAUUAGCUAGUAGGUGAGGUAAUGGCUCACCUAGGCGACGAUACAUAGCCGACCUGAGAGGGUGAUCGGCCACACUGGGACUGAGACACGGCCCAGACUCCUACGGGAGGCAGCAGUAGGGAAUCUUCGGCAAUGGGGGCAACCCUGACCGAGCAACGCCGCGUGAGUGAAGAAGGUUUUCGGAUCGUAAAGCUCUGUUGUAAGUCAAGAACGGGUGUGAGAGUGGAAAGUUCACACUGUGACGGUAGCUUACCAGAAAGGGACGGCUAACUACGUG